AUACGGAGGGUGCAAGCGUUACUCGGAAUCACUGGGCGUAAAGCGCGCGCAGGCGGGCUGAUAAGUUGGAUGUGAAAGCCUACGGCUCAACCGUAGAACUGCAUCCAAAACUGUCAGUCUAGAGUUUGGGAGGGGAAGAUGGAAUUAGUUGUGUAGGGGUAAAAUCCGUAGAGAUAACUAGGAAUACCAAAAGCGAAGGCGAUCUUCUGGAACAGUACUGACGCUGAGGCGCGAAAGCGUGGGGAGCAAACAGGAUUAGAAACCCUAGUAGUCC
rnacentral:rRNA from 1 species